rnacentral:rRNA from 1 species
AUUGAACGCUGGCGGCACGCUUUACACAUGCAAGUCGAACGGUAACAGGCCGCAAGGUGCUGACGAGUGGCGAACGGGUGAGUAAUGCAUCGGAACGUGCCCAGUCGUGGGGGACAACUGCUCGAAAGAGCAGCUAAUACCGCAUACGAUCUAAGGAUGAAAGCGGGGGACCGUAAGGCCUCGCGCGAUUGGAGCGGCCGAUGUCAGAUUAGGUAGUUGGUGGGGUAAAGGCUCACCAAGCCAACGAUCGGUAGCUGGUCUUAGAGGACGACCAGGCACACUGGGACUUAGACACGGCCCAGACUCCUACGGGAGGCAGCAGUGGGGAAUUUUGGACAAUGGGGGCAACCCUGAUCCAGCAAUGCCUCGUGCAGGAAGAAGGCCUUCGGGUUGUAAACUGCUUUUGUACGGAACGAAACGGUCUGGGUUAAUACCCUGGGCUAAUGACGGUACCGUAAGAAUAAGCACCGGCUAACUACGUGCCAGCAGCCGCGGUAAAAC